rnacentral:lncRNA from 1 species
GCCCUUCGUGGGCACCGGAGGGUUAGAGCAGGAUGGUGCUGGGCUCCCCGAAGAUAGUAGUGUAGGCGAUAGCAUAGGUAAUAAUGUAAUUAGCAAUGUAAGUCCUUUACGGACAACUUUUCCCCCUAUAGUUAUAGAUGAUUAGAUGAAAUUGUAACUUACUUUGUUUUUGUUUAAUGAUAUCUGGCUUUCGUUCGUGAUUAUACUUGGAUUAUUUUUGCUUUUUUCUGUCUUUCUAAUUGAACUGAGCUGCUUAAUCUAUCAAAGACUUAAUCUAUUUCCUCUAUCUGUAAGCGCCAUUCUUCGGGUUGGAUUUACCUUAAAGAUAAAGCUUUCCAGCCAUAUGUUUACUUAACCUUCCACAGAAUUCAACUACAUUGGGCUAAUUAGCCCUAUUACCAAUCUUUCUUUAUUUGAGUUAAUAUGGGCUGACCUUUCGACUAAACUUCUUUCCUGUGAGUUUUUCUGAUUUUGCCAAGGCAUUCUUGUUUUUUAUAUUGCUGAUUCAUUAAUAAUUGCGAGCCC